rnacentral:rRNA from 1 species
CUAUCACUCCUACGGGAGGCAGCAGUGGGGAAUAUUGCACAAUGGGCGCAAGCCUGAUGCAGCCAUGCCGCGUGUAUGAAGAAGGCCUUCGGGUUGUAAAGUACUUUCAGCAGUGAGGAAGGUGGAGUCGUUAAUAGCGGCCUCAUUUGACGUUAGCUGCAGAAGAAGCACCGGCUAACUCCGUGCCAGCAGCCGCGGUAAUACGGAGGGUCCAAGCGUUAUCCGGAAUCACUGGGUUUAAAGGGUGCGUAGGCGGAUAACUAAGUCUAAGGUGAAAGUCUGUGGCUUAACUAUAGAAUUGCCUUGGAUACUGGUUAUCUUGAAUUGGGUUGAGGAUGGCGGAAUGUGACAUGUAGCGGUGAAAUGCAUAGAUAUGUCAUAGAACACCGAUUGCGAAGGCAGCCAUCUGGGCCUUGAUUGACGCUGAGGCACGAAAGCGUGGGUAGCAAACAGGAUUAGAUACCCUGGUAG